CAGCAGCCGCGGUAAUACAGAGGGUGCAAGCGUUAAUCGGAAUUACUGGGCGUAAAGCGUGCGCAGGCGGUUAUAUAAGACAGAUGUGAAAUCCCCGGGCUCAACCUGGGAACUGCAUUUGUGACUGUAUAGCUAGAGUACGGCAGAGGGGGAUGGAAUUCCGCGUGUAGCAGUGAAAUGCGUAGAUAUGCGGAGGAACACCGAUGGCGAAGGCAAUCCCCUGGGCCUGUACUGACGCUCAUGCACGAAAGCGUGGGGAGCAAACAGGAUUAGAUACCCGCGUAGUCCCUGUCUCUUAUAC
rnacentral:rRNA from 1 species